UUGUCGGGUCUUCAUUGACUUGGUAACGUAGCUAACGCGUGAAGUUGACCGCCUGGGGAGUACGGUCGCAAGAUUAAAACUCAAAGGAGUUGACGGGGACCCGCACAAGCGGUGGAUGAUGUGGAUUAAUUCGAUGCAACGCGAAAAACCUUACCUACCCUUGACAUGUAUGGAAUCCUGCUGAGAGGUGGGAGUGCCCGAAAGGGAGCCAUAACACAGGUGCUGCAUGGCUGUCGUCAGCUCGUGUCGUGAGAUGUUGGGUUAAGUCCCGCGACGAGCGCAACCCUUGUCCCUAGUUGCUACGCAAGAGCACCCUAGGGAGACUGCCGGUGACAAACCGGAGGAAGGUGAGGAUGACGUCAAGUCCUCAUGGCCCUUAUGGGUAGGGCUUCACACGUCAUACAAUGGUCGGAACAGAGGGUCGCCAACCCGCGAGGGGGAGCCAAUCCCAGAAAACCGAUCGUAGUCCGGAUCGCACUCUGCAACUCGGGUGCGUGAAGCUGGAAUCGCUAGUAAUCGCGGAUCAGC
rnacentral:rRNA from 1 species